rnacentral:rRNA from 1 species
UACGUAGGUGGCAAGCGUUGUCCGGAAUUAUUGGGCGUAAAGCGCGCGCAGGCGGUUCUUUAAGUCUGAUGUGAAAGCCCACGGCUCAACCGUGGAGGGUCAUUGGAAACUGGAGAACUUGAGUACAGAAGAGGAAAGCGGAAUUCCACGUGUAGCGGUGAAAUGCGUAGAGAUGUGGAGGAACACCAGUGGCGAAGGCGGCUCUCUAGUACGUGACUGACGCUGAGACGCGAAAGCGUGGGGAGCGAACAGG